GGCGAUGUAGCUCAGCUGGUUAGAGCGGAGGAUUCAUAUCCCUCAGGUCGGUGGUUCGAGUCCACCCAUCGCCA
rnacentral:tRNA from 1 species